rnacentral:rRNA from 1 species
ACUCAAAGGAAUUGACGGGGGCCCGCACAAGCAGCGGAGCGUGUGGUUUAAUUCGAGGCUACACGAAGAACCUUACCUGGGUUUGACAUGCAGGUGGUAGGAGGGUGAAAGCUCUCCGACCUUCGGGAGCCUGCACAGGUGCUGCAUGGCUGUCGUCAGCUCGUGCCGUGAGGUGUUAGGUUAAGUCCUGUAACGAGCGCAACCCCCGGCAGUAGUUACAUGGUGUCUACUGCAACUGCCCGUGACAAGCGGGAGGAAGGUGGGGAUGACGUCAAGUCAGCAUGGCCUUUAUAUCCAGGGCUACACACACGCUACAAUGGUCGGUACAAUGGGAUGCCAAGCCGCAAGGCGGAGCUAAUCCACCAAAGCCGGUCUCAGUUCGGAUUGUGGGCUGCAACCCGCCCACAUGAAGUUGGAGUUGCUAGUAACCGCGCGUCAGCCAUAGUGCGGUGAAUACGUUCCCGGGCCUUGUACACACCGCCCGU